rnacentral:misc_RNA from 1 species
ACAUAUGUGUAUAAGAGACAGGUGAAUCAUCGAAUCUUUGAACGCACAUUGCGCUCCCUGGUAUUCCGGGGAGCAUGCCUGUUCGAGCGUCAUUACAACCCUCAAGCUCUGCUUGGUGUUGGGCCCCGCCGCCCCGGCGGGCCCUAAAGUCAGUGGCGGUGCCGUCCGGCUCCGAGCGUAGUAAUUUUUCUCGCUUUGGAGGCCCGGGCGCGUGCUCGCCAUCAACCCCCAAUUUUUUUCAGGUUGACCUCGGAUCAGGUAGGGAUACCCGCUGAACUUAAGCAUAUCAAUAAGCGGAGG